AUGUGUAUGCAUGUCGAAUCCUGUACCCUCCCCCCCCCACCCCCCCAGAGCCCUCAAGGUGUCCCUCAACUCUCUGGAUCAAAGUCCAUUCGCUACCUGCAUGUUCUCGCCUUCUCCCGCUGUUCUCUCGUGGCCACCAGGGGGCGCUUGGACCACCCAAAGCUGCUCCUCAGAACUUAAGGCAAGGACUUGCACAAGGCCCUGUACUGUUCACCCGGACAGACCCUGCGGGCCCUUAUUUCCUCCGUUGCCGACAUCUCCCUCUGUCCUGCUGUCAGGCCUUGGCAUAAGCUGUUCCUUCCGCCAGAGGUCUGUAUAGUGCUGGGACUGAAGGCCCACACUACUAUGUCUACCACUGGCUUUCGACCACAGUGGCUUGGCUAGCUUCCUGGGGAGCCCCAGAAGUCCUUUGGUCUCCAUUUCCCCAAGUUGGGAUCACACACAUGUGCCACCAACCCAGCUGUUAUGAUUGUUUCUUUUCUACAGUUUCCUUAAAUUCCAGCACCCUGGAGACAGAGACAGGCGAGCCUCUGAGUUUGGAACCAGCCUGAUCACGUAGCAAGUUCUAUCUAGGUAAGCCAAGGUUACAUGGUGAGACUUUUCAAAUUUUUUUAUUUAUUUUUCUCACAUAUGUAUGUGCUCAGAGGACACCGUGCAGGAGUUACUUCUCCUUCUCUGUGAAGAUGGAACUCGGGACACAGGCAUGGUGCCAGGCGCAUUGUACCUACAGAGUCAUUUCUCAUCAACUCAAGUCUCCUUUUAUAUGGGUUCUUAUGUCCCGGGGAUAACGCAAGUCAUCGGGCAAAUGACCCUAACCUCUGAGCCUUCUCAUCAGCCAGCUUUUACCGUUUUAGACAGACAGCGUUUUCCUAUGUAGCUUUGGCUGUCCUGGAACUCCCUAUGUCGACCAGGCCUUGAACUCACAGAGAUCACCUACCUCUGUCCCCCAGGUGCCGGCGUUAAAGGCUCGUGCCACCACGUUCAGCCAAUAUUUUUAUAUGUACAAAUAAACUGUGUGUACACGGGGAGACAUGCGCACGUGAAUGCAGGAGGCCAGAAGAGGGUAUCAGAGUCCUUCGGGAUGGAGCUGGGGCUGCUGUGGGCUGAGGGGGCCUGGGUGCAGAGCUCAGUCCUCUAUAAGAACAGUACUUAUUCUUAAGCUGAGGCCUCACCAGCCCCCGCAUAAACCAAUAAAGUAAAGAACACAAGGUAUGGUGAUGCUCUGCCCACAUCUGUGUGUUCUGGCACAUCUCAACACAUUAUCAACUCGGUGCUGUGUGAACGUUUUAAAAUAUUUAUUUAUUGGGGGGGGGUACAUACAGCAUGUGGAGGUCAGGGGGAAUGCAUAUGGGAGCCAGUUCUCUCAGGCUGGCCUCAAAGUUACAGAGAUCGGCUUCCCUCCACCUCCCAAGCGCUGGGAUUAAAGUUGUGGAGCAUCAUGAAUUUUACCUCCAAAAAGCUUUCAUUUAAAACAGUUUUGUUGCCACCAGACCCGUUUAUAGACACUUUGGUUGGGGCUGGAGAUAUGACUCAGCAGUUGAGAGCACCGGUUACCCUUCCGGAGGUCCUGACUUCAACUCUUGCAGACAAAGUUCCAAUACACAUAAAAUAAACAUGUGCCCCUACCCCCACCCCCACCCCCGCUUCCCCAGUCUGCCUGUGUAGACAGCCCUGGCUGUCCUAGAACUCUCUAUUCCAACAGGCU